rnacentral:piRNA from 1 species
AAGGUUGGACACCCUGCUCUGGGCUUUUG